rnacentral:rRNA from 1 species
GAUGAACGCUGGCGGCGUGCCUAAUACAUGCAAGUCGAGCGAACGGACGAGAAGCUUGCUUCUCUGAUGUUAGCGGCGGACGGGUGAGUAACACGUGGAUAACCUACCUAUAAGACUGGGAUAACUUCGGGAAACCGGAGCUAAUACCGGCUGAUAUUUUGAACCGCAUGGUUCAAAAGUGAAAGACGGUCUUGCUGUCACUUAUAGAUGGAUCCGCGCUGCAUUAGCUAGUUGGUAAGGUAACGGCUUACCAAGGCAACGAUGCAUAGCCGACCUGAGAGGGGGAUCGGCCACACUGGAACUGAGACACGGUCCAGACUCCUACGGGAGGCGGCAGUAGGGAAUCUUCCGCAAGGGGCGAAAGCCUGACGGAGCAAAGCCGCGUGAGUGAUGAAGGUCUUCGGAUCGUAAAACUCUGUUAUUAGGGAAGAACAUAUGUGUAAGUAACUGGGCACAUCUUGACGGUACCUAAUCAGAAAGCCACGGCUAACUACGUG